rnacentral:rRNA from 1 species
UACAGAGGGUGCAAGCGUUGUUCGGAAUUAUUGGGCGUAAAGGGCGCGUAGGCGGUGCGGUAAGUCUGCGGUGAAAUCUCCCGGCUCAACUGGGAGGCUGCCGUGGAAACUGCCGUGCUUGAGUACGGAAGAGGCGAGUGGAAUUCCUGGUGUAGCGGUGAAAUGCGCAGAUAUCAGGAGGAACACCAAUUGCGAAGGCAGCUCGCUGGGACGUUACUGACGCUGAGACGCGAAAGCGUGGGGAGCAAACAGG